GCCAGACUCCUACGGGAGGCAGCAGUGGGGGAUAUUGCACAAUGGGGGAAACCCUGAUGCAGCGACGCCGCGUGGGUGAAGAAGCGCCUCGGCGCGUAAAGCCCUGUCAGCAGGGAAGAAAAUGACGGUACCUGACUAAGAAGCCCCGGCUAACUACGUGCCAGCAGCCGCGGUAAUACGUAGGGGGCAAGCGUUAUCCGGAUUUACUGGGUGUAAAGGGGGCGCAGACGGCAGCGCAAGCCAGGAGUGAAAGCCCGGGGCCCAACCCCGGGACUGCUCUUGGAACUGCGCGGCUGGAGUGCAGGAGGGGCAGGCGGAAUUCCUGGUGUAGCGGUGAAAUGCGUAGAUAUUAGGAGGAACACCGGUGGCGAAGGCGGCUUACUGGACUGUAACUGACGUUGAGGCUCGAAAGCGUGGGGAGCAAACAGGAUUAGAUACCCUCGUACAA
rnacentral:rRNA from 1 species